CGAACCUUCGGGUUAGCGGCGAACGGGUGAGUAACACGUGGGCAACCUGCCCCGAGCUCUGGGAUAACUCCGGGAAACCGGGGCUAAUACCGGAUAUGACACCGAUCGACAUCUGUCGGUGUGGAAAGUUUUUCGGCUCGGGAUGGGCCCGCGGCCUAUCAGCUUGUUGGUGAGGUAACGGCCCACCAAGGCGACGACGGGUAGCCGGCCUGAGAGGGCGACCGGCCACACUGGGACUGAGACACGGCCCAG
rnacentral:rRNA from 1 species